rnacentral:rRNA from 1 species
CAGCAGCCGCGGUAAUACGUAGGUCCCGAGCGUUGUCCGGAUUUAUUGGGCGUUAAGCGAGCGCAGGCGGUUUGAUAAGUCUGAAGUUAAAGGCUGUGGCUCAACCAUAGUUCGCUUUGGAAACUGUCAAACUUGAGUGCAGAAGGGGAGAGUGGAAUUCCAUGUGUAGCGGUGAAAUGCGUAGAUAUAUGGAGGAACACCGGUGGCGAAAGCGGCUCUCUGGUCUGUAACUGACGCUGAGGCUCGAAAGCGUGGGGAGCGAACAGGAUUAGAUACCCCCGUAGUCCCUGUCUCUUAUACA